CACCGAUGAAGCAGCGUGCCCAAGCCCUCAGCGGCCUGGCAGGCCCAGCAGCACCCACGGCUCCCUGCCUUACAUGCCCAGACCCGAACUACUGUGGUUCUCUGCCCUCCGCGAGCGGGGAAGGGACUGGUUCCCACCCACCCACCAGAGCCCAUCUCCCCCCGUGCCCGCCCGCAAAGUGCCGCCACCAACUCGGACUCUUGGCCCCACCGCCCAACAGGGAGCCCAGCACCGACUGUCCUCCAGAGUGCGGCGAGCCGGAGCCCGGACACCGAAGAGCCCACCAGGGGUUAAACCUGAGCACGCGGGCGGGAGAGCGGCCGCGAGGCGGGCACUACGCGGCCGGCGCGGAGCGGGACCUGAGAGCGCGGGGGCCUGCGGCGCCCGCCCGCCUGCUGCCAGCACGGUCUGAGGCCCUGAAGCUCCCGGGACCUUCCGAGGCGGGCCGCGCGGGCGCCUGUAGGACCAAUUGGCCCGCGGCUUGGGGCCACCCGCACCGCUCCCGGCUCCCGGCCCGCCGGGUGGACGCCUGCGGGCUGCGGGCAGGCAGCGCGCCGGGCAGCCCUGGGCCAGCGGCCAUGGCGGCGGCCCUAGGGGCGCGGGGGCUGUCGCGGCUCCUGCUGGCGACGCUGCGGGGCCGGGGCCGGAGCUUCUCGGCCACGGCAGCAGAUGCUCGCCAUUUGACAGCAGAGGAGAGGAACCAAGUUAUCCUUGACCUGAAAGCAGCAGGAUGGUCAGAAUUACAUGAGAGAGAUGCCAUCUACAAGGAAUUUUCCUUCAAAAAUUUUAAUCAGGCAUUUGGCUUCAUGUCCCGAGUCGCCCUGCAAGCCGAGAAGAUGAAUCAUCACCCGGAAUGGUUCAAUGUGUACAACAAGGUGCAGAUAACCCUAACGUCGCACGACUAUGGUGGACUGACCAAGAGAGAUGUGAAACUGGCCAAGUUUAUUGAAAAAGCAGCCGCUUCUGUGUGAUUUUUUUUUUUCUGAAAUGUGUGACAAACCCGGUGCACGUCUUAGCCAUCAUAGAGGGAGUUGAAGGAGAAAACAAUGGCCUCUGGGGCAAUAUAAGGAUUCACCGUCACAGUGACCAACUUGCCAGAUCAUUAUUUGACUUUCUGCAUUAGGAGGAACUAAGGGUCAUUUUUUUUUAGAUUUUAUUUACUUAUUUGACACAGAGAGAGAGAGAGAGAGCACAAGAUGGGGAGUAGCAGGCAGAAGAAGAGGGAGAAGCAGGCUCCCCACAGAGCAGGGGGAGCCCGAUGUGGGACUCGAUCCCAGGACCCCAGAAUCAUGACCCAAGCCAUAGGCAAUCGCCCAACUGACUGAGCCACCCAGGUUCUCUAAGGGUCAUUUUAAAAAAUCAUUUGCAGUUUGUAACUCCUGAACUGAGGGUCUACAUGGCCACUAAGUUAGAAGCUCCUGAGUUUUCAGGGCGCCUGGGUGGCUCAGUGGGUUAAGCCUCUGCCUUCGGCUCAGGUCAUGAUCCCAGGGUCCUGGGAUCAAGCCCCACAUCGGGCUCUCUGCUCAGCAGGGACCCUGCUUCUUCUCCCUCUCUCUCUGCCUACUUCUGCCUACUUGUGAUUUCUUGUCUCUGUCAAAUAAAUGAAUAAAAAAAUCUUAAAAAAAAAGAAACUACUGAGUUUUUAUCCUGUAAUGAGCUCUAUUUAUAUUCUGUGUGUCACUGAUAGGAGUAAAAUGGAAUGUAAAGUAAUGUAAUCUGUUACUUAAAAAUUAAAAUA